rnacentral:rRNA from 1 species
AACGAACGCUGGCGGCAGGCUUAACACAUGCAAGUCGAACGCCCCGCAAGGGGAGUGGCAGACGGGUGAGUAACGCGUGGGAAUCUACCCAGAACUUCGGAACAACUGAGGGAAACUUCAGCUAAUACCGGAUACGCCCUACGGGGAAGAUUUAUCGGUUCUGGAUGAGCCCGCGUUGGAUUAGCUAGUUGGUGGGGUAAUGGCCUACCAAGGCGACGAUCCAUAGCUGGUCUGAGAGGANGAUCAGCCACACUGGGGCUGAGACACGGCCCAGACUCCUACGGGAGGCAGCAGUGGGGAAUAUUGGACAAUGGGCGAAAGCCUGAUCCAGCCAUGCCGCGUGAGUGAUGAAGGCCUUAGGGUUGUAAAGCUCUUUCAGUA